UUGAAAGGGAAACGAUUGAAGUCAGUCGUGCUGGCGCGAAAUCAACCUUCUCGUCUUGAGAUCACAUGGCGUGGCGAGCCUCAAAACCGUCACGAAGCGUGAACUCUUGGUGAAAUGGAGCACUUUCGUGUCCGCUGGUUAACAUCAAUUUCGAACGUCAUAAAAAGGCUGGAGGGAUGUGGCUCCUUCGGGAGUGUUAUAACCUUUAGCGGAAUGUGGUGUUCGGGAUUGAGGAUUGCAACGAACACCUUUAGGGCUGUUCCACCUGGCUUCUCUUUGGUAUCCUGGUGACGACAGCUUGCUGACGUCGUUAGGAUUCGCCUUUGAACAGGCUAGAGUGUGAGCAAAUUCGUUAAGGAUGUUGACGUA
rnacentral:rRNA from 1 species